rnacentral:rRNA from 1 species
GACGAGGGGUGCGAGCGUUAUUCGGAAUUAUUGGGCGUAAAGGGUGUGUAGACGGCGUACUAAGUCUGUUGUUAAAUCUCCCGGCUUAACCGGGAAUCAGCAAUGGAUACUGAUAUGCUAGAGGGUGGAAGAGAGAAGUGGAAUUCUCGGAGUAGCGGUAAAAUGCGUAGAUCUCGAGAGGAACACCAAUGGCGAAGGCAGCUUCUUGGUCCAUUUCUGACGUUGAAACACGAAAGCGUGGGGAGCAAACAGG